rnacentral:pre_miRNA from 1 species
UUUUCUACAAAUCAAAAUGACUUGAAAUUUGGAGCGUGUGUUCAUAAAAAAUAGGUGAAUCUACAAAAAAUAUCAAAAAAAUAUUUUACAUGAAAACAUUGACCAAAAUACCCCCGAAAAGUUUUGGGGGUAUUUUGGUCAAUAUUGUUUUUGCGAAUUAUUAUUUUUUAUAUUUUUAUUAGGUGCGCCUCACUAAGAUGUACAUACCCUCCAAAUUUCAGGUCAUUCCGAUUUGUAGAAGA